UUCUGAACCAAAUUGGGGUCUAGGUGAUCUACUGGUGUGGCCUCAAUAGCAAUUAUAUCGGCAACAGAGUUCGCGUGGACAAAAGCAAACCCGCUGCUCAGAAAAUAUUUAGACACAUCAUUGCCUUCGUGAACUGACAGAAUCCCAGGUUUUAGCUCCGCAAUUGUAGCUACAUGACCAGGUAAAACACCCAUUUGUCCCGUAGUUGCUGGGACUAUGACCAUAUCAACCUGCACAUCAAUCAAUUUACAUGUUCUCCUCGAAGCUACAUAGCAAUACCAAUCACGGCAGUCAACAGACUAGAGCAAAAGUGAAACAAAUGAACUACCUAUAAUACGUAUGACAGGGUCUACUCAUUUAUAUGAUCCAAAUUGUUAGCUAUAAGUUGAAAUAGGGCUUGUAGAGAAAUGUAGUGGCAUUUGCAAAUACUAUUAAACAGGGAAAAUUACCGUCUAGGCAUUACCAAGUUCGAAAAUGUGUUAUGCGAUGUUAACUGCAUUACCUUCAAGGUGAUGAUGCUACAGUAGCAUGGAAUCAGAUUGGCAACAAAUGGAUAACGGAAUUGAAUAGUAUGAUCAUACUGCUCUCAGCUAUAGUAGAUAAUUCAACAAAGUAAUUCUAAAGCACCUGAUGUUUCACGGAAUAACCUCUAAGACUUCUUAGCCAAAGAUUUUAGUCUGAAGAAUCUGAAAUCUCCUAAAGAAAGUUGUUGAUUGAAGAGUGACAAUUGGAUUUGGACAUAAAAGUACAAUUCACUUAUCAAGAAACUGAAAGCCAAAUAUCAGAAGCAAUAUUUGCAGCUCCACUCCAUAACACAACACAAACACAGGUCAUCAAUGCGAUUGACUCAAAUAAGUAAGGAACAAAUCUCUAAUUUGCUUCUUAAAAAGAUAAAAGCACAAUGGAGAAAGAAAUCAAAGAUCAUAGGAAGGGAAAAAAAGGUCUUUCAGACUCUUUCUAAGAUAUGAUCAAUCCAUCUUAAAAUGUACUCCAUCUAAAAGGUUUAUGAAAACCCAAGCAUUACAAACACCUAUUUCCACCUAGAAACAUAAAAUGGUUCAUUUUAGACAGAGCGAUACAAAAGAUAUCAAUUUGUGAAGCUCAGAAAUCCAAAUUAAGAUAAACUGGCCAGCACACUUCAGAUUCGCAAAUCCACCCAGAGGGCUUUCAACAGCAUACUACAUAGCCAACAGCAAAACAGGGGGAAAAAUCAAUAGUAUCCUAGAACAUCUCAGGAACCAUUGCAAGAAUACAUCUUCAAACAAAUUAGAGAUAACAGUCAAAACCUAUAAGCUUUCAAUACCAAUUCCAAACACCACGACAAUUCACAUCAACAAUAUGAUUAUGAAUAGAAUUACCUAGAACCAAGCAAUACAGGAAUAAAUGAGUGUAGGGUAGGGUACCUCUUUGGAGGAUAAGACAGAAUCAUAAGGAAGCACCAAAUUGACAGUGAGCUUCGACGGAAUGUUGGAUGGGGUGGGUGGUCGAGGCUUCAUGUACGCCGAUGGGGUUUUCGGCGGGUCCAUAUUGGGGUUCAUUUUCUUCCAGGAUUCCACAAACUUGGCGUCUUCGGCAGUCUCCGCCUGGAGAUCGGUAGAAAACUGGCGGCGCCACCUCAUGGAUGUGGCGGAAGCUCGGCUGAAGAGGGAUCGUGAACCAUAUCGCAGCAUUUUGGGGAGGCAGAGCGCGUGUUUGAGUGAGAGAGAGGAGAGGACUGGUAAAAAGAGAUUUGCCGAAGUGGGAAUUUAGAUGAUAUAUUUAGUGGGCUUUUUUUGAGGCCCAUUAACACAAAUAGUUAUAAUUGUUUAAAGUAUAGGUGGAGUUUAAUAAAAAGAAAAAAAGUAGAGAAAAUAUGACAAACAACUAAUUUUAUUAUAUGGGUAAAAUUCUAUUCAUAGAUAAUGUUUUACUUAGUUUUUAUUUAGAAUAAGAGUUAUGGGUGCAUAAAUACAUUAAUUUUGAAUAAAUUUUGAUUUUUUAUAUGAAUUUUAAAAAAUAUCAAAAAAAUACACAAACUUAUUCAUUGUAGUAUUUUUAACAUUAAUUCUAUUUACUUUCAUAGAUACAUUUGAAACGAACCAAAAUAAAUAUUUUAAAAUUUUUAAUUUAAUCCGAGAAUUCGAAUUUGUGCUAAAAUUACUACAAUCUAAUUUGUCUAGAUCAACAUUUCCGCAUGUCAAUUAAGCUUUAAUUUUAUCCGAAAUAGAAUUCGUGUUAAAAUUACUACAAUCAAUAAGUUGAUGUAUUUUUUUUGCACUUUUUAAAAUUCAUGUUAAAAAGUAAAAUUAGUUCAAAGUUGGUGUAUUUAUGCACCAAUAACCCUUAAAAUAAUAAUAAUAAUAAUAAUAAUAAAUAAUCAUGAAUUUACUAUUUUGUUCUAUAGUUUAUAGCUCCAAAUUAAAUACUCUAUGGCCCAGAGCCCCAAAUAAUUAUUCUUUCGUAAUUCGUUUUCAGAAAAAAAUUAUGCAAACUUCUUAAUCAUCUCGGCACAAUAAACUGAUGGAUUUAUGUUAGAAUUCUCAAUCGUUACUAUAUUCAUGUGAGGAUUCUCCAGAGAGAUUGCCACAAGGUUCGCAACGUUGAGAGGCCUGAGGAGGAAUCUAGUGGAGACAAACUCUCUCUUUGUCGUGAUGAGGCUCACACACGGCGCUAGAGAAGAGUGUUGGGUCCCGGAAGGUGUAGAAGAGUGAUGAGGCAGUUUUUCAAAAUCAAACACAAUACAACCUUUAACAGUUAAUUAAUACUUAAAAGUAUGACUGAUGAACCACUUAACGAAAGGUUGAAGACUGAUACUGAAAAACACUUUAGUAAAGAUAUCAGUUAAAGUCAAGACUUUAAUUGAUACACUCGUAGAGCUUCAGUCUUGGAUUGAACAGAGAAAUGUUAUGAAUCUUACUGACUAUUCGAAGAAUUAUCAGUUAGUCUAAUAACACACACAGCGGAAAAUUUUAUCUUUUGAAAAAGCCUUUUAGAAACACGUUGUCAGGUUAAUGUUUCACUUUGCGAUUAGUCAGUUUCAGUUAAGAACGUUUGUGCACAGAUAAGAAAGUAGAAACUGAAAGCGAUGAACGACAAAGGGACUUUUACGUGGUUCGGAAUUCAAUUCCUACAUCCACGGUCAGUUGAUCACACUGACAAACACUCUGGGCUUAUGCUUACGGGUGCGCGCACAGCAAACCUUGAACUGAAAAAUACACUUUUCAGUACCAACACACUGGGUUGGAUUUCUCAAUCACUUAGAACGCACUGGGUACUAAGAUUUCUUUGGAGUCAAAACACUGGUCUGAACUCCACACAACUUCAAAUAUUCUUUUUGCUCAGUUGAAAGGAGGUUCGAAAACUGCCAACUACAUGACAGAGAACAGGCUCUCUGUAAUCAGUAACUUAGGCUUUGGAUAAACAAUAUUUGCCUAAGGUUCUAAGAGAAUAUAUGUAAUCAGCAAUGGCCUGAUUUUGGCUUUGCGAUUCUCUUCUUCGAUUCAAACUUUGGAAGGCUUUGAUUGGCUGAGUUGCAAUUUCGGCAGCGUUUCAACUUGUGUAUUUGAAUCGGUGAAGAUUGAAGUGAUCAUCGAGCUCUAUUUAUAGGAGAGGUCUUGAAUAGAUCCGUUGGCGGAGAUGGUCUUCAAGAAUUCAUCUGUUGGAGAGUAAUUCGAAUUUUGCUGAGGCUUCAAUCUUCGAGGUUCCUUGUUUGGUGAGAAACGGCUACUCAGGUACAAGAGGUAAGGCGCCUCUGAAAAGGUAAUCACCCAAAAAGAAUGCUCUGCAGAGAAAGGACGAUCCUCUGUAUCUCUGCAUUUAAUGCGGUUGUACUUUGAUUGCGUGGCUUCCUUUUAACAUUGGAGGUUCAGUCCGAGGAAGAAUGUCAACUGAUACUUGACUUUAGUAUCAGUCCGCUGAUUCCACGUAGCCAGCAUUAGAUGAAUCAGUUAUAACUGAUUCUUCAGUUGAGAAACUCGUUCUNNNNNNNNNNNNNNNNNNNNNNNNNNNNNNNNNNNNNNNNNNNNNNNNNNNNNNNNNNNNNNNNNNNNNNNNNNNNNNNNNNNNNNNNNNNNNNNNNNNNNNNNNNNNNNNNNNNNNNNNNNNNNNNNNNNNNNNNNNNNNNNNNNNNNNNNNNNNNNNNNNNNNNNNNNNNNNNNNNNNNNNNNNNNNNNNNNNNNNNNNNNNNNNNNNNNNNNNNNNNNNNNNNNNNNNNNNNNNNNNNNNNNNNNNNNNNNNNNNNNNNNNNNNNNNNNNNNNNNNNNNNNNNNNNNNNNNNNNNNNNNNNNNNNNNNNNNNNNNNNNNNNNNNNNNNNNNNNNNNNNNNNNNNNNNNNNNNNNNGAAAGAAUGAUGACGACGAAGAUGAAAAGGAGAAUCAUAGAAGACGAUGAUGAUGACGGCGUUCGAGUGAGAGGAAACAACAACAUCGAGAAAGAGAGUCAUCUGAGUAAACGAGAGAGAGAGAGGGGGGGCAAAAAUGAAGAAAAUGAGAGUUCGAGGAAGAAGGAGAGAUGUGUGUAAUUUGUACGUAUAAAUUUAGAGAUAAUUUUGCUCAAAAUACUGAAAUUUAGCUAAAAGUCUUACAAAUUAAGUUUGUGACCAAUUAUUACAAUACUUAGUACAAAUUCCACUCUCUUUUUUAAUGCAUAUAAUGAUAAAUAAGUAUAUGUAUUAACGGGCUUAUUGCCUGUAAAUUCAAAAUAUUUUACCGAAUUUUGAAAUUGCGCCUAUUUUUUUUUCCCUCAAGAACCAUAAACUUUUGUUUUUUUUUCUAAUUUAUGUCGAUCAUCAGUUUUUUUCAUCGUGACACUUAAAAAACAAAAAAAAUCCCACCCCCCUUCCCCAACCUGUCGACACCCUUCCACCUCCCCAAACUCUAAUUUCCCCUCCCCCACCCAUCGCCACCCCCUCUCUCUCCUAUUCCCCCUCCCGGUGGCCUGAGUGCCGCCCUACUCCCCAGGUACCGACGCCGCCACCUCUCAGCGUCGCCAUUCUUUCCAACUUUCCCCCAGCAACACGUAAACUUAUAUACGCACACAACCGCACACAGUCGUCGCAUCUUUCCUCAUCUUUCUCGUUUCUCAGUCAGACGCCGACAGUAAGGUCACGCCAACUGCCUCUGCCCCCUUCUCCUUCUCGCCUCUCACCUCUGAACCUUAGAUUUCCAAUUUGGUCUCCACCCUCUUCGAUCUCCGGCGACAACGACGGCCACAAUUACCAUUGGGGGUUUGAGCAGGUGUUCUCGGUGAUGGGGUGAACGAGCUCAUGUCGUUGGUCGUGAAGGCAAACGUGCUAAAGGUAGUGAGGGAGUUCAACCCUGCUCUAUAAUCCAAACAUCGAAGAGCCCAACAUCUAUGGCGGCGUACGAGAAGAACCACCUCAAUAGUCGGAGCACGGUGCACAGAAGGGCUGCCAGGAAGGGCAGGGAGGGCGUAGGUAGGUGGAGGGAAAAUUCGGGUUAGGGGGAGAAGGAAAGGGAAAUGAAUAGACAUGUUUGGAGGAGGGGGAGGAUUUUUUUUUAUUUUUUUUUACCUUUUAUUGUUUCUUAAGUGUAUUUUUUUAAUCUAACUGUCAUUUUUUAAUUUAAGUGUUAUUUUCGACGGCCACAAUGUCAUUUCCAAUCACCAGAGUGUCAUGUUUUGACAGCCACGUCGAAGAAAAUCGAUGAUCGAAUAUAAAUUGAAAAAAAAAAUUGUUAUGGAUCUUAAGAAAAAAGAAAAAGAAAAAAAAGAAUAGGUGCAAUUCGAAAAUUUAGUAAAAUAUUUUGGAUUUAUAGGUAAUUAGCCCUAUAUUAAUGGUAAGAAGUGACGGUAAUGAUAAUUAUGGUAAUGAUAAUUAUGGUUUUGUGGCUAUAAGUGUCAUUAUCUGCGUAACAAUUGAUAUUUUCUUUUAAUUUUUAUGUAAAUAGUCAAAAACAUCUUAUAGAAAAAUAGAGAAUUAUAAAUUAUUACUCCCUCGGUCCCACUCCAAUAGGCUCAUUUUCCUUUUCGGGUAAAAAAGUUGUACUUAAUUGGUGAAUAUUUUGGGCUAGCGUCAUUUCUCGUAAAAUAAUUUUCUUUUAAUUUGCUAAAGCAAAAUCUUAUGAGAAUGAGAAUAUAUAUCAUUUAUGAAAGUUACGUAGAACAUGGUGAACAGAUUGCUAUCAUUGAGAUUUGCAUCCCAUUCACCCCCAACUCAAAGGCAAAAAAGAAAAAAUUACCAUUUUCGAUUAAUACCUAAAAACAAUAAAACAGAAAAUGAAAAAGAAAAGAAAAGGAAGGCUUUAACCAGAAAAUCCAACCCAAAACACAAAAUGUCUUUUGGCGCGAAAUAGCAGUAGACGUUAGUUAGUUACAUCACAAUUCCCCCUUCUUAAUCUGGAAAUGAAUCUCUGUAAUUGAUCAAUAUUCCGUAAAACUUUCGGAACAGUAAAGAGGAGCAACAAUGGAGGAUGAGAGGGAUUGGAGACUCGCCUCCGAUUGGUACUCUCCAACUCGCCUCCACGACAGUCCCGUCAAAUAUGAUUUUCCGGUACCUUCUUUUGAAUUUUCUACGAUGAUUACUUGACUAUUGCUUAUUUCUGAGAAUUUGUUGUUGUUUUCUGUGUGUUUGGGGUUUGAAUAGGGCGAUAGGUUUAUUCCAAAUCGGAGCCUGAUGGAUCUCGAUCAAGCCCACGGUGCGCUGACCAACAGGGUUGUCCAACGCCCCACACAUACCAAAUCCAGUGUCAGUUCCUUUUCUUUCCUUUCAAUUUUUUUAUUUCAUUUCGAAUCAUUCUUGAAUUUGAAUUACUUCAUACUCUUGUACAAUGUGGAUUAAAUUUGUGUAUGAAAAAUUAGUCCGUAGUUGUUUGUUCCAUUCUGCUUUGUGGCAUGAGAUAUUUAUUUAUAAAUUGACAUCUCUAAGGAGAAUAUGAGGAAUUGAGAGUUUUUCUGUUUAGUUUAUUAGACUGAUGUUCUUCUUGUAUUUCAUGACAGAUUGAAUAUAGGAAGUCUUUGAGCAAUCUGACCUUGAAUGCUGAUGGUAGGCCAUUUCAGAUGCUUGUUUUCAGGGGAAGCCCCAAAUCAAGUAGAAAACCGAACCCUAUGGUUGAUGAGACGCGACGCAGUAACAGUGAGUACCCUACUUGUAUACCAUUACGAAGAUUCCCCAAGGUAAACGUGAUUUUACAAGAUCUUGCUUGUCUUCUCCUUUGUUUUGAUGAUAGCUAGCUAGUUUGUCGAAUAAAACUUUGUGGAACGUUACAUACUAGGGUGAAUCUAAAAUUCUGGAUGCCCCCGGAAUCAGCCACGACUACUAUCUCAACAUUGUUGAUUGGGGGAAGGAAAACAUUCUAGCAGCUGCUCUUGACAGAAGAUUAUACCUGUGGGAUGCAAAUACUGGUAAAGUUGAUCUGUUAUCAGAGGUGAAAGAAGAUGACUAUCUUGCUAGUGUAAGCUGGUCUGAAAAUGGAAGAGUGGUAGCAGCAGGGAAUAGUUGCUCUACAGUACAUCUCUAUGAUGUUGAGACUCUCCAUCUAGUAAGCGGCCAGCCCUAAUAAUCAAUCUAACGGCUACGAACAAACUGAGUUCUCUUUACCUCUUAACGUCGUUGGUUUUUCAGUUCUUGGCAUGUCUUUUACAUAGGUGAGAUUGUUAGAGGGUCACCGUGGACGUGUGGGAUCUAUUGCGUGGAAUGGUCACACAGUAGCUUGUGGAACCUCUAGCGGAGCUAUCACCAACCAUGAUGGUAAAAAUGAGCUUCUUUAGUUAUCUUUCAUCUAGUUCAGAGUGUUAACCUUUUAACAUUUCUUUGUCACAGUUAGAGUGAGGAACAGUCAAGUGUGCCGUGUGAAAGUGCACAAGGGCGAGGUCUGUGGUUUGAAAUGGUCGGGCACGGGCAGCAUGCUGGCGAGUGGUGCAAGCGAUAGGAGAGUCUACUUGUGGGACGCGUGUAAGAUGAGCGAAAAGCACCAUGUCUACAGAUUCGAUCAUCAUUGUGCAGCCGUGAAAGCUCUGGCGUGGUGCCCUCACGACUACAACGUGCUAGCAUCGGGUGGUGGCUUGGAAGAUGGCAAUAUCAAGUUAUGGAACACUCAAAAAGGGACCUGCACCUCUAGCACAGAAACUAAGUCACAGGCAAGUUAGACUGCUACAUGUUUCACUCUUCCUUGUGUGCAAUUUGAUUUGAUUUGCUUUUGAGAUCCCAAUAUUUAUUGAUUAUGUGAUGUUUUUGUUGAUAGAUAUGUGGGCUGCAAUGGAACAAGCAUCACAAAGAGUUAUUAAGUGGGCAUGGGUAUGGCUACGAAUGUCAAAACCAGUUAUGCUUGUGGAGGUACCCUUCCAUGUCCAGAAUAGGAGAAUCUCGGAAUGCGCCGUCUCGAGUUCUCCAUCUAACUCAGGUCUGCUUUAUUGACUGAUGCAAUAAGAAUUAUAGUGUUACAACAAUGCAUAUACUUACUGAUCAUUCAUCGUUCACAGAGCCCCGAUGGUCUGACCGUCGUCUCAGCCGGAGAAGACGAGGCUCUUCGUUUUUGGAAUGUAUUUGGCCCGGAGCCCCCCGGCAAUUCAAGAAUGUCCUAUUUGCAAAGCCUUUUAUCUCUCAAGACAUCACCCAUAAGGUGAUGACUAUUCAUUGAUUUUCACCUCUCCAACUAAUGUAGCCAGAUUGGAUUUAGUGUAAGCUUUAGAAGUUGGAUGAUAUAUGAAUGUCAGCAGUUCUGAUGAACAGUCUAUUGUAUUCAUUGACCACGAUACAAAAGCUUCAUGAUAAAUUGACAUAGUUAAGAACAAAAAUAUAAAUCAUCCAAUUGUAAAUGUGUUUUCUAGCUACCGCCAGCCAGAUCACAAGUUAAGGAAAAUGCAUCAAAGCCAAAUGGGAGCAUUAUUUAUUUGAGAAAUCCUUUCAAAGCAAACUCUGGGAUCUAAGUUGACCAACAAGAAGCAUAAAGCCUUGGAAAAAGGGUACAAAAAGAAUCCGCUUAAGCUGAAAUAAAUCAAUCGACCCCGCUGUAUCUUUAACCUGUAAGAGCAGCAUUGAGAGCGCUGUGUACAUCUAUGCCGAUUUGUGCUUCAGCUUUCUCCACGUCGGUUGAUGCUGUGUUUAGCUUUUGUUGAAACUCUGCAAGGCCUUUCUGAACCAAAUUGGGGUCUAGGUGAUCUACUGGUGUGGCCUCAAUAGCAAUUAUAUCGGCAACAGAGUUCGCGUGGACAAAAGCAAACCCGCUGCUCAGAAAAUAUUUAGACACAUCAUUGCCUUCGUGAACUGACAGAAUCCCAGGUUUUAGCUCCGCAAUUGUAGCUACAUGACCAGGUAAAACACCCAUUUGUCCCGUAGUUGCUGGGACUAUGACCAUAUCAACCUGUAGACACAACAGAUGCACAUCGAUCAAUUUACAUGUUCUCUUCUAAGCUACGUCAGC
rnacentral:lncRNA from 1 species